rnacentral:rRNA from 1 species
UACGUAGGUGGCGAGCGUUGUCCGGAUUUACUGGGUGUAAAGGGCGUGUAGGCGGGCUGAUAAGUUGGGUGUGAAAUACCUCGGCUUAACCGAGGGGCUGCACCCAAAACUGUCAGUCUUGAGUGUCGGAGAGGUAAGCGGAAUUCCUAGUGUAGCGGUGAAAUGCGUAGAUAUUAGGAGGAACACCAGUGGCGAAGGCGGCUUACUGGAAGGCAACUGACGCUGAGGCGCGAAAGCGUGGGGAG